rnacentral:rRNA from 1 species
AACGAACGCUGGCGGCAUGCCUAACACAUGCAAGUCGAACGAAGGCUUCGGCCUUAGUGGCGCACGGGUGCGUAACGCGUGGGAAUCUGCCCUUGGGUUCGGAAUAACGUCGGGAAACUGACGCUAAUACCGGAUGAUGACGUAAGUCCAAAGAUUUAUCGCCCCAGGAUGAGCCCGCGUCGGAUUAGCUAGUUGGUGAGGUAAAAGCUCACCAAGGCGACGAUCCGUAGCUGGUCUGAGAGGCUGAUCAGCCACACUGGGACUGAGACACGGCCCAGACUCUUACGGGAGGCAGCAGUGGGGAAUAUUGGACAGUGGGCGGAAGCCUGAUGCAGCAAUGACGCGUGAGUGAUGAAGGCCUUAGGGUUGUAAAGCUCUUUUAACCGGGAUGAUAAUGACCGUACCGGGAGAAUAAGCUCCGGCUAACUCCGUG